rnacentral:ncRNA from 2 species
AUUGUCCGCUAGGGGAGCUUUAUGCUGAGAUAGCACGCUGCGCUUAAAUAAGUACAGGUGCUGACCCUUUGAACCUGUCUGGUUAAUUCUAACGGAGGGAAGCGGUUGUGAUUAGUA